GUUCGCCCAUAAAGGAAGUGAGUUGAAAACUCCAAUCUAGUUCAACUUCAACUUCCCAGGCCUUAAAAUAGUACAGUCAAGUGUGAACGUCUACUUUGAUGAGGUUGCCUGCCUGCCAUCUGGAAUUGCAAACAGAACUAUAGGCUUUGAAGGUCUGAUAAAAGGGACAUCACAUCUAAAGUAGCCCUUCCUCUCGAGUUGCAAUAUCUCUCCACGCUUCAAAUUUCGCAUGUUUGAAUCCCCUAGUGCUGCAGUCUCCCUCUUAGUACCUGGGUUAAGGACAUCAAGGAAAUUCUCUCCUUCUUCCAGCUUUUUCUUAGUUAUCAGAUAGUCAAACUCCACCAGUAAGAUGUUAACUAAUUCAGCUAUUUCAGGCAGCCAGGUGAGCUUCAACUUUGUUGUCUUGACAGAUCCAUCAAGAUGCAAAACCCCAAUUAAUUGUGUAACUUUUCCACUCUCAUCCUUCACAAUUUCCUU
rnacentral:misc_RNA from 1 species